rnacentral:misc_RNA from 1 species
UAACAGAAGAGCAAUGUGUUUCCUUGGUACUUUCUUUGAUUAGCAGUAGCUUGGAUGCGUGGCGUACUCGUCAAUAUGAUUAUUAUCAGAGGGUCUUAAAUGGGAUAUUAUGAGGUCAAAGUGAGUUUAUCCACACCGAAACGUGAUUAUACAUGUGAAGAGAAACCGAUCUUUAACUUGUUUGCUGAGAGGGGCUUGGUUGGGAAAGAGCAAUUCACUAUAUGAACGUGUUCUUCUGAUUCUGUCGAGGUUAAAGGAUUGCUUGUCCUUUGCAGUUUGCUUCUCUUUCUGAGGAAUUUGUAGUUGUACCUGCGAAUGUUGUAUUGAAAUAUACCAGGUGCAAGCUCUCUUCAAGAAGAGCUUUAAUUUCUAGUUUCACUCAAUUUUCAAGAUUAUUGGACAAAGGCAUGGGUUGUCUUCAGUGAAGAGAUUUGUCGAGUACACCCACCCACCCGUGGGUACAUACUGUACAGAGCUGUGUAAGAGAUUGCAACAGUGGUGGCUUGCUGCCAGAACGCGAGAGACAGACAGACGGCUGUUGGUACCGUUUGAAUUGAAUCAUGAGUUUGCUGGUGCAACAUGAUAUUUGGUUUGUACAAUAGCUUAUUUGCUUUGAUUUUGUUUUUCAUUUUCCCUUUUAUUGUGUCAAAGGCAUUAUUUAGAUUAGCAGUAGGAAAAUUGCAGCCUGCUCUUAAUUUUCAAGUCUUUGAUUCUUUGUGUUCACCAGGAGAUUCUGAAACAGCAGAGUUGUAAUGUAUAAUAUUUUUUG